rnacentral:misc_RNA from 1 species
GAUGAAGAACGCAGCGAAAUGAGAUAAGUAAUGUGAAUUGCAGAAUUCAGUGAAUCAUCGAAUCUUUGAACGCACAUUGCGCCCAUUAGUAUUCUAGUGGGCAUGCCUGUUCGAGCGUCAUUAAGUCCACUUAAGCCCUGCUUAGUGUUGGGAGACUGCUCCAGCGGUGCUACCCUGUAGCUACCCUGCAGCUCCUCAAAGACAGCGGCGGAGUUGUGGUAUCCUCUGAGCUUAGUAACUUGUUCUAGCUUUCGAGUACACCACUUCCCCUGCCGUAAAACCCUUAAUUUUUAAUGGUUGACCUCGGAUCAGGCAGGAAUACCCGCUGAACUUAAGCAUAUCAAUAAGCGGAGGA